GCACUGGGGGUUGUAGGACUGCAAUGUGCAAGAGGUGAGUUUAGCAGAACAUUCUGGAAAGUAUAGCCAUAGAGGGUGAUAGUCCCGUAUGCGAAAAACAAACCUUAGCUAGCAGUAUCCUGAGUAGGGCGGGACACGAGAAAUCCUGUCUGAAGCUGGGUCGACCACGAUCCAACCCUAAAUACUAAUACCAGAUCGAUAGUGCACAAGUACCGUGAGGGAAAGGUGAAAAGAACUGAGGUGAUCAGAGUGAAAUAGAACCUGAAACCAUUUGCUUACAAUCAUUCAGAGCACUAUGUAGCAAUACAGUGUGAUGGACUGCCUUUUGCAUAAUGAGCCUGCGAGUUGUGGUGUCUGGCAAGGUUAAGCAAACGCGAAGCCGUAGCGAAAGCGAGUCUGAAUAGGGCGCUUAGUCAGAUGCUGCAGACCCGAAACGAAGUGAUCUAUCCAUGAGCAAGUUGAAGCUAGUGUAAGAACUAGUGGAGGACUGAACCCAUAGGCGUUGAAAAGCCCCGGGAUGACUUGUGGAUAGGGGUGAAAGGCCAAUCAAACUUCGUGAUAGCUGGUUCUCUCCGAAAUAUAUUUAGGUAUAGCGUUGUGUCGUAAUAUAAGGGGGUAGAGCACUGAAUGGGCUAGGGCAUACACCAAUGUACCAAACCCUAUCAAACUCCGAAUACCUUAUAUGUAAUCACAGCAGUCAGGCGGCGAGUGAUAAAAUCCGUCGUCAAGAGGGAAACAACCCAGACUACCAGCUAAGGUCCCUAAAUCUUACUUAAGUGGAAAACGAUGUGAAGUUACUUAAACAACCAGGAGGUUGGCUUAGAAGCAGCCAUCCUUUAAAGAAAGCGUAAUAGCUCACUGGUCUAGUGAUUUUGCGCGGAAAAUAUAACGGGGCUAAAGUAAGUACCGAAGCUGUAGACUUGAUUUUAUCAAGUGGUAGGAGAGCGUUCUAUUUGCGUCGAAGGUAUACCGGUAAGGAGUGCUGGAGCGAAUAGAAGUGAGCAUGCAGGCAUGAGUAGCGAUAAUUAAUGUGAGAAUCAUUAACGCCGUAAACCCAAGGUUUCCUACGCGAUGCUCGUCAUCGUAGGGUUAGUCGGGUCCUAAGUCGAGUCCGAAAGGGGUAGACGAUGGCAAAUUGGUUAAUAUUCCAAUACCAACAUUAGUGUGCGAUGGAAGGACGCUUAGGGCUAAGGGGGCUAGCGGAUGGAAGUGCUAGUCUAAGGUCGUAGGAGGUUAUACAGGCAAAUCCGUAUAACAAUACUCCGAGAACUGAAAGGCUUUUUGAAGUCUUCGGAUGGAUAGAAGAACCCCUGAUGCCAUCGAGCCAAGAAAAGUUUCUAAGUUUAGCUAAUGUUGCCCGUACCGUAAACCGACACAGGUGGGUGGGAUGAGUAUUCUAAGGCGCGUGGAAGAACUCUCUUUAAGGAACUCUGCAAAAUAGCACCGUAUCUUCGGUAUAAGGUGUGGUUCGCUUCGUAUUAGGAUUUACUCCGAAAGCGAAGAAACUUACAACAAAGAGUCCCUCCCGACUGUUUACCAAAAACACAGCACUCUGCUAACUCGUAAGAGGAUGUAUAGGGUGUGACGCCUGCCCGGUGCUCGAAGGUUAAUUGAUGGGGUUAGCAUUAGCGAAGCUCUUGAUCGAAGCCCGAGUAAACGGCGGCCGUAACUAUAACGGUCCUAAGGUAGCGAAAUUCCUUGUCGGUUAAAUACCGACCUGCAUGAAUGGCGUAACGAGAUGGGAGCUGUCUCAAAGAGGGAUCCAGUGAAAUUGUAGUGGAGGUGAAAAUUCCUCCUACCCGCGGCAAGACGGAAAGACCCCGUGGACCUUUACUACAGCUUGACACUGCUAUUUGGAUAAGAAUGUGCAGGAUAGGUGGGAGGCUUUGAGUAUAUGACGCCAGUUGUAUAUGAGCCAUUGUUGAGAUACCACUCUUUCUUAUUUGGGUAGCUAACCAGCUUGAGUUAUCCUCAAGUGGGACAAUGUCUGGUGGGUAGUUUGACUGGGGCGGUCGCCUCCCAAAUAAUAACGGAGGCUUACAAAGGUUGGCUCAGAACGGUUGGAAAUCGUUCGUAGAGUAUAAAGGUAUAAGCCAGCUUAACUGCAAGACAUACAAGUCAAGCAGAGACGAAAGUCGGUCUUAGUGAUCCGGUGGUUCUGUGUGGAAGGGCCAUCGCUCAAAGGAUAAAAGGUACCCCGGGGAUAACAGGCUGAUCUCCCCCAAGAGCUCACAUCGACGGGGAGGUUUGGCACCUCGAUGUCGGCUCAUCGCAUCCUGGGGCUGGAGCAGGUCCCAAGGGUAUGGCUGUUCGCCAUUUAAAGCGGUACGCGAGCUGGGUUCAGAACGUCGUGAGACAGUUCGGUCCCUAUCUGCCGUGGGCGUAAGAAGAUUGAAGAGAUUUGACCCUAGUACGAGAGGACCGGGUUGAACAAACCACUGGUGUAGCUGUUGUUCUGCCAAGAGCAUCGCAGCGUAGCUAAGUUUGGAAAGGAUAAACGCUGAAAGCAUCUAAGCGUGAAGCCAACUCUAAGAUGAAUCUUCUCUAAGCUCUCUAGAAGACUACUAGUUUGAUAGGCUGGGUGUGUAAUGGAUGAAAGUCCUUUAGCUGACCAGUACUAAUAGAGCGUUUGGCUUAUCUUUAAUAAAGCAU
rnacentral:rRNA from 1 species